CUUGUUAAUCACAUUUUGGUGAUUAAAGGUCUGCUUUUUAAUCUUAGGUUGAAGAUUAUAGAAACAAAAUUCUAUUAGGAACGUAUGCAUGUAUAAGUGUCCAUUAUACAUGUGGAUAUCCUUAUUCAUGCACUGUGAAGGAUCAUCAGCAAUUUCUCCUGACGCAUACUGUACAACCUGCCACACAAUUCUGAAGUACAGAAGAGACCAGAAUGAUAUCUGCUGGGAAUGUUGGAGGAGCUACUGGAGAGAAAACAUGGA